CAACGGGAAGUUUAGGAAUUGAAACCCACAAAUCAUUGAUAUUUAUAUAUAAAUAUGUAGAAAUAAAAGGAGAAGCUGAGGAGGAGCUACUUGAACAACCCAAAGAUGGAGAAGUGGAGAAGGUGGCUUCGCUUUGAACGCUCACUUGUUUUUCCAACUAAAUGUGUACUUUUAAAGGUCACAAAGCAUCUCAAGCCAAAGGCUGAAGGGAAAAGGCAGGGGCUGCUAGGACUUUACAAGGACUUGGAGGGUUGUGGCGAAUAUGAAGAUAUACAAGUUAUGUGGAAGAUGGUUCAUUCUUCUUGCCCAUCAACUGCCCACAAAACCAGAAGAACCAAAAGGCCUUAUUCUUGGAGGAUCAGCUUCUGUUUUAGGCCAAGCUAACCCCAUCAAGAUUUUUGAUUGAGAUGUAAAUAAUAGCAGCCAAGAACAGAUUCUGUUUGCUUCCAUCUUUUCUUUGGUUAAAACCCACUUUUAUGAAAUGUUUAGAAAUCAGGACCGGAACUCGUCGGGAAAAAAAUAUUAUACAACCGUUAUGCUACGAAGAAAA